AUGAACGCUGGCGGUGUGCCUAAUCCAUGCCAGUCGAGCGCACGGACGAGAAGCUUGCUUCUCUGAUGUUAGCGGCGGACGGGUGAGUAACACGUGGAUAACCUACCUAUAAGACUGGGAUAACUUCGGGAAACCGGAGCUAAUACCGGAUAAUAUUUUGAACCGCAUGGUUCAAAAGUGAAAGACGGUCUUGCUGUCACUUAUAGAUGGAUCCGCGCUGCAUUAGCUAGUUGGUAAGGUAACGGCUUACCAAGGCAACGAUGCAUAGCCGACCUGAGAGGGUGAUCGGCCACACUGGAACUGAGACACGGUCCAGACUCCUACGGGAGGCAGCAGUAGGGAAUCUUCCGCAAUGGGCGAAAGCCUGACGGAGCAACGCCGCGUGAGUGAUGAAGGUCUUCGGAUCGUAAAACUCUGUUAUUAGGGAAGAACAUAUGUGUAAGUAACUGUGCACAUCUUGACGGUACCUAAUCAGAAAGCCACGGCUAACUACGUG
rnacentral:rRNA from 1 species